rnacentral:rRNA from 1 species
GACGAACGCUGGCGGCGUGCUUAACACAUGCAAGUCGAACGGAAAGGCCCUGCUUUUGUGGGGUGCUCGAGGGGCGAACGGGUGAGUAACACGUGAGUAACCUGCCCUUGACUUUGGGGUAACUUCAGGAAACUGGGGCUAAUACCGGAUAGGAGCUCCUGCUGCAUGGUGGGCGUUGGAAAGUUUCGGCGGUUGGGGAUGGACUCGCGGCUUAUCAGCUUGUUGGUGGGGUAGUGGCUUACCAAGGCUUUGACGGGUAGGCGGCCUGAGAGGGUGACCGGCGACCAUGGGACUGAGGUAGGGAGCAGACUCGUACGGGGGGCAGUGGUGGGGAAUCUUGCCCAGCGGGGGGGAGUCUGAUACGGCGACGCCGGGUGCGGGAUGACGGCUUUUGGGUUGUAAACCGCUUUCGCCUGUGACGAAGCGUGAGUGACGGUAACGGGUAAAGAAGCACCGGCUAACUACGUG